rnacentral:pre_miRNA from 1 species
AUUCUACUCCCUCUGUUGCACAAUACAUGCCUUCUAUUUGUCAAAAUAUAUAUGUAUAUAGACAUGUUUUAGUAUAUAGGUACAUCCAUUUUUGGACAAAUGGAAGUCAAGUAUUUUGGAAUGGAGGGAGUACACA